rnacentral:rRNA from 1 species
UGCGGUUAAACAAAAGUUAAAUUAAAUUUUUUUAAGGUUUAAUAAUUGAAAUUAUUUAAAUAAAAUAAAUAUUAAAUUAUUAAGUGAAAUUUUAAUUUAUUUAAAAUUUAUUUAAUUUUUAAGAUAUUAAUAAAUUUUGUUUAAAACUAGGAUUAGAUACCCUAUUAUUAAAAUUUAAAUUUAAAAUCUUAAAAUAGUAUGUAUAUUAUAUAAUAUAUUUAUUUUAUAUUUAUAUUGAAACUUAAAUAAUUUGGCGGUAUUUUAGUUCAUUUAGAGGAAUCUGUUUAAUAAUUGAUAAUCCACGAAUAAAUUUACUUAAUUUAUUUAAUUUUGUAUAUCGUUGUUAUAAAAAUAUUUUUUAGUAAAAAUAAUAUUUUAGAUUUUAUAUUUAAAGUUAAAUCAGAUCAAGAUGCAGAUUAUAAUUAAGAAUAUUAAUGGAUUACAAUAAAUUUUAUUUUUGGAUAUUAACAUUGAAAGUUAGUUGAAAUUGGAUUUAAAUGUAAUUUUAUUUAUAUUUUUAAAAUGAUUAAAAAUUAAAAUAUGUACAUAUUGCCCGUCGCUUUCAUAUAUAAAUUGAAAUAAGUCGUAACAAAGUAGAGGUACUGGAAAGUGUUUCUAGAAAGA